rnacentral:rRNA from 1 species
AUUGAACGCUGGCGGAAUGCUUUACACAUGCAAGUCGAACGGCAGCACGGACUUCGGUCUGGUGGCGAGUGGCGAACGGGUGAGUAAUACAUCGGAACGUGCCCAGUCGUGGGGGAUAACGUAGCGAAAGCUACGCUAAUACCGCAUACGAUCUACGAAUGAAAGCGGGGGAUCGCAAGACCUCGCGCGAUUGGAGCGGCCGAUGGUAGAUUAGGUAGUUGGUAGGGUAAAGGCCUACCAAGCCGACGAUCUGUAGCUGGUCUGAGAGGAUGAUCAGCCACACUGGGACUGAGACACGGCCCAGACUCCUACGGGAGGCAGCAGUGGGGAAUUUUGGACAAUGGACGCAAGUCUGAUCCAGCCAUUCCGCGUGCAGGAUGAAGGCCCUCGGGUUGUAAACUGCUUUUGUACAGAACGAAAAGGCUCUGGUUAAUACCUGGGGCUCAUGACGGUACUGUAAGAAUAAGCACCGGCUAACUACGUGCCAGCCGCCGCAGUAA